UGCUAGAGGAACAGGGACAGUCUGUUUCACAAGUUCGGCCAAUAUAGCCCACAGCCAGUUUCUAUUCACUAGCCAGUUUCUCUAACUUGGUCCAUCUGUCUGGUGUGGAACUGAUCACAAUAGCUACAGCACAUCAUUGCCCUACAAGGACACGUGUUCCUGACAGGGCUCAGCCUAGGCUAGUCUGGAAUUCAGCAUUUAGCAAAGAUGGCCUUGAAGUCCUGACCUUUCUGUGUUCACCUCCCGUUUGAUGGAAUUACAGUUCUGUCUGUGGCUUUACCAGCACAACCUCAGUGAGAAAGCUCAGUAUCCCUGGUUCAGUGAGUCAGGAAGGGGAAGCCAGGAACUGUGCGUCUUUAUAGGAGUGACAGAACCCUGGAAGGAUGCUGGGAGCUGCAGCCUUCACUGUGUCUCUCCAGAAGAUGAAAAGAAUCCAGAAUUCACACAAUGGAACUUUUAGACCAUCCAGAAUGCAAUCAGAAAUGCUGUCUACACAAGGUAUUGGGGAAACCAAGCCACAGUGUAACUCAAACAAGGUCCUCCCUGGUUUGGAGCAGCUCUCCCAGCUGCUGCAUGGGUGACAAGAGGAAACAUAUUCCAACAAGUGAGUGAAAGUCUCCCUGAGGCCAGGAACCCCAAGAG